GGAGAGAUGGCUUAGUGGUUAAGAGCACUGGCUGUUCUUCCAGAGAACCUGGGUUCGAUUCCCAGCAUCCA
rnacentral:tRNA from 1 species